UACAGAGGGUGCAAGCGUUAAUCGGAAUAACUGGGCGUAAAGGGCGCGUAGGUGGUUGCAAGAGUGUGAUGUGAAAGCCCUGGGCUUAACCUAGGAAGUGCAUCGCAAACGUUGCAAGCUGGAGUAAUAGUAGAGGGACAGCGGAAUUUCCGGUGUAGCAGUGAAAUGCGUAGAGAUCGGAAGGAACGUCAAUGGCGAAGGCAGCUGUCAUGGACUAAGUACUGACA
rnacentral:rRNA from 1 species